AGCCCCCUCUAGCCCAAACAAACCCGACCCCACCAACCCAAAACCCACUACAAUCACGAAACAAAACAUUUCCCCAACUAGCCUAGUAUAGGCGAUAGAAAAGCCCUUUAGGCGCCAUAGAGUCCAGUACCGUAAGGGAAAGAUGAAAUAGCAGUGAAAACACGAACAACAAAAUAGCAAAGAUAAACCCUUGUACCUUUUGCAUCAUGAUUUAGCAAGAACACCCAAGCAAAGCGCCCUUAAGUUUGCCUCCCCGAAACCCGAGCGAGCUACUUGCAAGCAGCUGUCCCGAGCAAACCCGUCUCUGUCGCAAAAGAGUGGGAUGACUUGUUAGUAGAGGUGAAAAGCCUAACGAGCUGGGUGAUAGCUGGUUGCCUGCGAAACGGACCUAAGCCCUACCUUGACCGCCCCCGUCAGACCACCCAAAAUCUUUCCUAUGGCACUCAAGAGUAAUUUAAAGGAGGUACAGCUCCUUUAAAAGAGGAUCCAACCUUUUCAAGCGGAUAAGAACCCCCCCCCCGCUACCAUGUAGGCCUUCAAGCAGCCACCAACAAAGAGUGCGUCAAAGCUCCACAAAAAAAAUCCAGAAACAAACACGACUCCCUCACCAUUAGCAGGCCAACCUAUACCAAUAGGAGCAUUAAUGCUAAAAUAAGUAACUAGGAAUACAUCCUCUCGGCGCAAACUUAAACCCAUUAACAGAUCCAGUAUCCCAACCCACGACCAAAUACACCAACCCCCGUUAACCCAACACAGGAGCGCCCAAAGAAAGAUUAAAAUCUGUAGAAGGAACUAGGCAAACCCUAGGCCCGACUGUUUACCAAAAACAUAGCCUUCAGCCAUCCAAGUAUUGAAGGUGAUGCCUGCCCAGUGACAUACGUUCAACGGCCGCGGUAUCCUAACCGUGCAAAGGUAGCGCAAUCAAUUGUCCCAUAAAUUGGGACCUGUAUGAAUGGCUAAACGAGGUCUCAACUGUCUCCUACAGACAAUCAGUGAAAUUGAUCUUCCUGUGCAAAAGCAGGAAUGCACUCAUAAGACGAGAAGACCCUGUGGAACUUCAAGAUCAAGAGCCACUCCUACCAAAAACCUCACCAACCGGCACACUCACCACCCAAGAUUGGCCCUCAUCUUUCGGUUGGGGCGACCUUGGAGCAAAACAAACCCUCCAAAAACAAGGCCACAUACCUUCACAAAGAGCGACCUCUCAACGUACUAACAGUAACCAGACCCAAUACAAUUGAGCAAUGGACCAAGCUACCCCAGGGAUAACAGCGCAAUCCCCCUCAAGAGCCCAUAUCGACAGGGGGGUUUACGACCUCGAUGUUGGAUCAGGACACCCUAAUGGUGCAGCCGCUAUUAAGGGUUCGUUUGUUCAACGAUUAACAGUCCUACGUGAUCUGAGUUCAGACCGGAGCAAUCCAGGUCGGUUUCUAUCUAUGACUAGACUCUCCCCAGUACGAAAGGACCGGGAAAGUGAGACCCACGCCCACAGGCGCGUCCCCCUUCCAAGCAGUGAAACCAACUAAACUGUCAAAGAAGCUUCCCACAACCCCAUCCUAGAAAAGGAC
rnacentral:rRNA from 1 species